AUUGAACGCUGGCGGCAGGCCUAACACAUGCAAGUCGAGCGAGCGGCGGACGGGGGAGUAAUGUAUGUGGACUGCUCGAUAUAGGGGGAUAACUACUGGAAAAAGUAGCUAAUACCGCAUACUAUCGGAUAACCCAUAUGGGAUUAGCUAGUAGGUGAGGUAAUGGCUCACAUAGGCGAGGAAACCUAGCGGGGCUGAGAGGAUGAUCAGCAAAACGGGGACUGAGACACGGCCAAGACUCCUACGGAGGCAGCAUGGGGGAAGAUUGCACAAGGGGCGCAAGCCUGAGGAAGCAAUGCCGCGGGGAUGAAGAAGGCCCUAGGGUUGUAAAGUACUUUCAGUCGGGAGGCGUUACCGACAGAAGAAGCACCGGCUAACUCCGUGCCAGCAGCCGCGGUAAUUC
rnacentral:rRNA from 1 species